AGCAGUCCCUUGAUGACCACACGGACAGAUACAGUGAUGGCACGGACGCAAGCUUGGAUGCACCCCCUCGACGGCCAUACAGAUGAUGAUGAUGGUGGUGAUGAUGAAGAUGAUAAUGGGCCAACUUCUGAUUCUGAACACAUGGUUAAUGAUGACAUGAUGAGGUCCCCACUAUACAGAGGAGCAUCUGUUACUCUUGGGCAAACCAUUCUACUUCUGAUGGCCUUUGCUGGAACCGUGGGAUUGACACAAGAUGGUCUGCAAAAACUUCUUCAAAUUUUAAUUCUUGUUCUACCACCAGAUUGCCACUUGCCAGCCACAAAAUAUCUCUUCAAAAAACUAUUCAAAACUGGGAAAUAUGUUUUUCAUAGAUAUUGCCCCAACUGCUUUUGUCUUUUGGAUAAUAAUAAAUGUAAGGCAGGUCUUAGGCAGGUGUUUGACAAAAAUGAACUAAUAAAAAAUGGAAACUUUUUUUUUACCUUGCCUCUUAUUGGCUAAAACUCUUAUAGUUAUUGGCUUAACUAAAACAUGUCCUAGAGACUUUAAAUCUUGGAGAGUCGUUGAACUACAGAAAGACUAGGCCAACAAACCCGGACGCAAUUUCAGACAUUAUGGAUGGCAAACUGUAUGAACAGAUGUGCAAAUACUCCAAUUUAAAGAAAGAUUACUCUUUUAGCUUCACUUUAACUCUGAUGGUGUACCUAUCUUCAAAUCCUCCUCUUUUUCUAUUUGGCCCUUGCUAUGUUACAUAAAUGAGCUCCCACCUAAUAUAAGGAAAAAGAACAUGUUUUUAGCAGGACUUUGGUUUGGUGUAAAAAACAAACAAACAUCCAUUUCCAUGUUUUUUAAAAAAUUUAUCAGUGAAAUGAAAACUCUUGGUUCAGCUGGUUUUGAGUGGUGUUUAAAGGGUAAGAUUGUUAAAUCUUAUGUAUAUGCUAUAAUUUGUUCAUGUGAUAGUGUAGCACGGGCUGCAUUACAAAAUGUCAAGCAAUUCAAUGGCAAAUUUGGCUGCAACUGGUGUCUACAUCCAGGGGAUAGAGAAAGGUAAGAGAUAUGCUCAAGUAUACCCUUAUCAGGAAGAAGUAGCAGAACACUGCCACACAGAUAUGAUUGAAUGGGGACAAAAUGGAGUGGUUGGUCAAAACUUUGAGGUGAAGGGGCCCACACCUUUGAUGUCACUGCCUUUUUUUGAUGUUGUCACUGGAUUUAUUAUUGAUUUAGGGGUGAUGAGACAACUGUCUACCUUGUGGUUUGAUAGUUCUUACCAUAGAGAGCUUUGGUAUAUAGGAACCAGAAUCAAUGAGAUAGAUCCUCCAUCCAACAUCAGAAGAUUGCCUAGAUCUAUCUUAACCAGAGCCUACUGGAAAGCCUCAGAAUGGCGUGCUUUUCUCUUAUUUUAUGCUCCAAUUUUUUGAAAUCCAUUCUUCCAGGUAGAUUUCUUAGGCACUUCCUCCUUUUGUGCCAAGCAGUGUAUGUCUUGUAAACAACAUCAAUUACACAGCUGGAGCUUUUCUUUGCAUCUCAACACCUGAAUGAGUUUGUGUGUGAUUUUGAGACCUUGUAUGGUAGAUCCCACAUGACAUACAAUGUUCAUAUUCUACUUCAUCUUUGUGACAGUGUCAGAAACUGGGGGCCCUUAUGGUGUUACAGCGCAAACAGUUUCGAAGGGUGUAAUGGCUUUCUGUUGAAACUAUACAAUGG